AAGGAUCAUUACAUUCAGUAGCCCAGCUACUUGUUUACACCCUUGUUUUUUUGCGUACCUAUCGUUUCCUCGGCGGGCUUGCCUGCCGGUUGGACAACUUUAUAACCUUUUUAAAUCUUCAAUCAGCGUCUGAACAAUAUACAAUAAUUACAACUUUCAACAACGGAUCUCUUGGUUCUGGCAUCGAUGAAGAACGCAGCGUAGCCAUCUGCAGCGAUGUGGAAGUAAAAGUCGUAACAAG
rnacentral:misc_RNA from 1 species